AGAUUGAACGCUGGCGGCAUGCCUUACACAUGCAAGUCGAACGGCAGCACGGGAGCAAUCCUGGUGGCGAGUGGCGAACGGGUGAGUAAUAUAUCGGAACGUGCCCAGUCGUGGGGGAUAACGUAGAGAAAUUUACGCUAAUACCGCAUACGAUCCAAGGAUGAAAGCGGGGGACCUAAGGCCUCGCGCGACUGGAGCGGCUGAUAUCAGAUUAGCGUUGUGGUGAGGUAAAAGCUACACCGAAGCGACGAUCUGUAUCGUGUUGAGAAGAACCGACCA
rnacentral:rRNA from 1 species